GAAGCUGACCAGACAGUCGCCGCUUCGUCGUCGUCCUUUCGGGGAGACGGGCGGAGGGGAGGAAAGUCCGGGCUCCAUAGGGCAGGGUGCCAGGUAACGCCUGGGGGGGAAACCCACGACCAGUGCAACAGAGAGCAAACCGCCGAUGGCCCACUUAAGUGGGAUCAGGUAAGGGUGAAAGGGUGCGGUAAGAGCGCACCGCGCGGCUGGUAACAGUCCGUGGCACGGUAAACUCCACCCGGAGCAAGGCCAAAUAGGGGUUCAUAAGGUACGGCCCGUACUGAACCCGGGUAGGCUGCUUGAGCCAGUGAGCGAUUGCUGGCCUAGAUGAAUGACUGUCCACGACAGAACCCGGCUUAUCGGUCAGUUUCACUU
rnacentral:RNase_P_RNA from 1 species